GGCAUCCGCCACCACACCCAGCUAAUUUUUUGUAUUUUUUUUAGUAGAGACGGGGUUUCACUGUGUUAGCCAGGAUGGUCUCGAUCCCCUGACCUUGUGAUCCACCCAAGGCCUCGGCCUCCCAAAGUGCUGGGAUUACAGGCAUGAGCCACCGUGCCCGGUCAAUUUUUAUAUUUUUUGUAGAGACAGGGUUUCACCAUGUUGGCCAGGCUGGUGUCGAACUCCCGACCUCAGGUGAUUGUCGGCCUUGGCCUCCCAAAGUGCUGGGAUUACAGGCGUGAGCCACCGCGCCCAGCCGGUGGGCAGCCAGUUGUGUUCCGGGAGGAGGAGGACACCCUGGAAAGACAGUGGGGCCAGACACUGAACUGCCUUUGGAAGCAAGUAGGAGCAACAGCGAAGGUUUGCUGGCUCAGGUUCCCAGUCCCUGAUUUCUGGCCACUCCGCCUUUCUGGUCUCGCCCUGUCACCCAGGCUGGAGUACAGUGGCGCAAUAUGGGCUCACUGCAACCUCCACCUCCUGGGCUCAAGUGAUCCUCCCAUCUCAGACCCUCAAGGAGCUGGGGCUACAGGCACGUGCCACCGUGUCCGGCUAAUUUUUGUAUUUUUUGUAGAGACAGGGUUUCACCAUGUUGCCCAGGCUGGUCUCAAACUCCUGAGCUCAGGUGAUCCGCCUGCCUUGGCCUGCGAUAAAAUUGCACAGAAGUAAAUACACACACGUGAGGAUACGGAAAACCGGGGAAACCUGAGCAAGAGCAGUCAGACCCCGGCUGUGAUGGCGCCCAGUAGUUCUGCGAGAUGUUACCAUUGGGGAAACUGAGUGAAGGCGGGUACCUGGGAUCCCUCUGUUUUCUUUUUUGUUGUUGUUGUUAUUUUGAGAUGAAGUUUCCCUCUUGUUGCCCAGGCUGGGUGAUCCACCUGCCUCGGCCUCCCAAAGUGCUGGGAUUACACGCGUGAGCCACUGUGCCCAGCCUCUCUGUUUUAUUUCUUCUUUUUUUUUUUUUUUUUUUGGAGACGCUCUGUCGCCCAGGCUGGAGUGCAGUGGCACGAUAUUGGCUCACUGCAAGCUCCGCCUCCUGGGUUCACACCAUUCUCCUGCCUCAGCCUCCCGAGUAGCUGGGACUACAGGCGCCCGCCACCUCGCCCGUCUAAUUUUUUGUAUUUUUAGUAGAGGCGGGGCUUCACCGUGUUAGCCAGGAUGGUCUCAAUCUCCUGACCUCGUCAUCCGCCCGUCUCGGCCUCCCAUAGUGCUGGGAUUACAGGCAUGAGCCACCACGCCCGGCUGUUUUAUUUCUUAUAACUGUACAGGAAUCUACAAUGAUUGUAACAAAAAUUUCAAUUAAGGCCACUCUAGGCACAUGGCCUGUGGGGUAGCCCUGCUCAACAAGAAGCCGUCAAAAAAAUGUUUUUUAAUUAAAAAAUUUCUUCAAUUAAAAA
rnacentral:lncRNA from 1 species